UGGGCAGGUGGGAGGCACAGGGGCACAAUCGAUCGAUCGAUAGCGGGUCAGAGAAGGCGUGGCCCUGAGGGCGGCUGUUCUCAGAGGGGCUGUGUGCUGACUCAGGCUGAGGGCAGGGUGGGUCAAGCUCAGGGGCCUGGAGGAAGGACAGAAACCUAACCAAAGUGGGACUGAUUGUUGGGACUGAUCAGAGGGCGAGCAGUCCAGUUAAUCAUUGAUGAAGCAAAGAAAGGGAGUGGAGGGUCUGUGUCCGGCCUCCUCACAGGUAAACGCAGGUGGGUCUUAUCUAAAUCCCCGGGAAGGUGCGGCCUUGCCGAAGCCCUUUCCCAGAAGCCAGGGGCUGGGGGAUCCAGCCCAUUACUGUUUCCCAGGAUCCCUGGGCUCAGACCAGCUGGAAGAACCUAGAAGGGGAGAGGAAAAUGUCUUCCUCCUCACGAGCAUCGGUUUUUAAUGUGCCAUGCCGGUAUCCACACCCGUGUCAGUCCUUUGUGGCUCCUUUCUUCACGUACUAUUAUCACCAGUCUCGUUUUCCAGAUGAGGAGAUGGGGUGAAGAAAUCAAGAAACCUGUGUAAUAUCACCAACUAGUCAGCAGUCAGGACUUGAACCCAAGCAGUCAGGCCACAGAUUCCUGUACUUACCACACUAGCCUGUGCUCCCUGGGUUAGCUUGCCAUUAGAAUUCCAUUAGAUAUAGCCA